rnacentral:rRNA from 1 species
UACAGAGGUCCCGAGCGUUGUUCGGAUUCAUUGGGCGUAAAGGGUGCGUAGGCGGCGGGGUAAGUUUGAUGUGAAAGCUCAGGGCUUAACCCUGAAAUGGCAUUGAAUACUACUGUGCUGGAGGUUUGGAGGGGGGACUGGAAUUGCUUGGUGUAGCAGUGAAAUGCGUAGAUAUCAAGAGGAACACCAGUGGCGAAGGCGAGUCCCUGGACAACACCUGACACUGAGGCACGAAAGCUAGGGGAGCAAACAGG